CUAUGGAUGAAAAGUAUCAUUUGGGAUCUGCUGAAGAAGCAAUUCAAGAAAUCCAGCGCAAGAACAACAGUGGACUAAGUUUUGAAGAACUGUAUCAAAAUGCAUAUACCAUGGUGCUCCACAAACAUGGAGAGGAGCUGUACACGGGGCUUAGAGAAAUAGUGGAGGAGCAUCUCAUAAAUAAGGAACAAAUUGGAUGCUAGACAAGGAGGAAAGUACCGAGAUGGCCAAAAAAAUGAAAUUCGGAAUAAUAGAAGCAAUUCCAUUAAUCGUCCUCCUGGUGUUCCUGAUAGGAUUUGCGAUCAUCAUCUACUGCACCUUUUGCCGCAAAAAUCCACAGACGUGACACCAUUCCUGCCCUGCUCAGGCUACAGGCUCCUGCCUACCCUGCCGUGCAGCCGUCCCGCCCUCCGCGGUUCUAUCUGCGAUCUAUUGAUUUAAGUCUCAUAUGACCGAAACAUCUGAAACAUCGCAACUCUCCACAUGACUCACGGCACAACAUCAUUUUCAUUAAGACGGAGCAAUUAACGCCCGACUGGGGCAGUAUCUUUAAUUUUAAUUUUAAUUUUACCAGCAGAAUCAUUUACUUGCCGAUUACUGCAUAUGUUGCUGGCCCCUACUUCCCAGUUUGAAGUGUAGGA